UACGUAGGGUGCGAGCGUUAAUCGGAAUUACUGGGCGUAAAGGGGGCGCAGGCGGUUUGCCAAGUCAGAUGUGAAAGCCCCGGGCUCAACCCGGGAACUGCGUUUGAAACUGGCAGGCUAGAGUUUGGCAUAGGGGGGUGGAAUUCCACGUGUAGCAGUGAAAUGCGUAGAGAUGUGGAGGAACACCGAUGGCGAAGGCAGCCCCCUGGGCCAAAACUGACGCUCAGGCACGAAAGCGUGGGGAGCAAACAGG
rnacentral:rRNA from 1 species